GCGUCAGUGGUUUAGUGGUAAAAUCCAUCGUUGCCAUGUGAAACAUUCGAUGGGCCCCGCGUUCGAUUCGCGGCUGACGCA
rnacentral:tRNA from 1 species